rnacentral:rRNA from 1 species
GGAGCUCUCCCNUAUGGUCGACCUGCAGGCGGCCGCGAAUUCACUAGUGAUUAGAGUUUGAUCCUGGCUCAGGAUGAACGCUGGCGGCGUGCCUAACACAUGCAAGUCGAACGAAGCAAUUUAACGGAAGUUUUCGGAUGGAAGUUGAAUUGACUGAGUGGCGGACGGGUGAGUAACGCGUGGGUAACCUGCCUUGUACUGGGGGACAACAGUUAGAAAUGACUGCUAAUACCGCAUAAGCGCACAGUAUCGCAUGAUACAGUGUGAAAAACUCCGGUGGUACAAGAUGGACCCGCGUCUGAUUAGCUAGUUGGUAAGGUAACGGCUUACCAAGGCGACGAUCAGUAGCCGACCUGAGAGGGUGACCGGCCACAUUGGGACUGAGACACGGCCCAAACUCCUACGGGAGGCAGCAGUGGGGAAUAUUGCACAAUGGGCGAAAGCCUGAUGCAGCGACGCCGCGUGAGUGAAGAAGUAUUUCGGUAUGUAAAGCUCUAUCAGCAGGGAAGAAAAUGACGGUACCUGACUAAGAAGCCCCGGCUAACUACGUGCCAGCAGCCGCGGUAAUACGUAGGGGGCAAGCGUUAUCCGGAUUUACUGGGUGUAAAGGGAGCGUAGACGGUAAAGCAAGUCUGAAGUGAGAGCCCGCGGCUCAACUGCGGGACUGCUUUGGAAACUGUUUAACUGGAGUGUCGGAGAGGUAAGUGGAAUUCCUAGUGUAGCGGUGAAAUGCGUAGAUAUUANGAGGAACACCAGUGGCGAANGCGACUUACUGGACGAUAACUGACGUUGAGGCUCGAAAGCGUGGGGAGCAAACAGGAUUAGAUACCCUGGNAGUCCACGCCGUAAACGAUGAAUACUANGUGUUGGGGAGCAAAGCUCUNCNGUGCCGUCNCNNCGCANUNNUAUUCCACCUGGGGAGUACGUUCGCAAGANUGAAACUCAAAGGAAUUGACGGGNACCCNGCACAAGCGG